rnacentral:rRNA from 1 species
CCUACGGGAGGCAGCAGUGAGGAAUAUUGGUCAAUGGGCGGAAGCCUGAACCAGCCAAGUAGCGUGCGGGAUGAAGGCCCUACGGGUCGUAAACCGCUUUUGCACGGGGAUAACACCCUCCACUUGUGGAGGUCUGCAGGUACCGUGCGAAUAAGGAUCGGCUAACUCCGUGCCAGCAGCCGCGGUAAUACGGAGGAUCCGAGCGUUAUCCGGAUUUAUUGGGUUUAAAGGGAGCGUAGGCGGGUUGUUAAGUCAGUUGUGAAAGUUUGCGGCUCAACCGUAAAAUUGCAGUUGAUACUGGCAUCCUUGAGUACAGUAGAGGUAGGCGGAAUUCGUGGUGUAGCGGUGAAAUGCUUAGAUAUCACGAAGAACUCCGAUUGCGAAGGCAGCCUGUUGGACUGUAACUGACGCUGAUGCUCGAAAGUGUGGGUAUCAAACAGGAUUAGAUACCCGAGUAGUC